CGCGGAGGCUGCGCGGGGACGGGCCGCGGGGACGGGCCGCACGGCGCGCGCGCAAGCAGCGAGAGCGCCGCGGAUGCGGCUUUUGCCGGCGGUGCGCGCCUGCGGUUUGGGGUGAUGCGCGGAGCUGCCCCGGGGUCCUGCGCACCGCCAGCGCGGAGGGCUCGCCUGCUCUUCUUCCCCAAGCGGCUGUGGCUGCGAGGGAGCAAGGUCCCUGCCUGCGCCCCCCCUGCCUGCGCCCCCCCUGCCUGCAUCCCUGCCCGCAUCCCUGCCUGCACCCCUGCCUUGCCUGCGCGCUGUGCAGCUGCUCGGAGCUCCCGGCGCGGUGCGGAAGGCGGAUGCGGUGGCGGCUGGAUGUCCUCCUGCUGUGACCGGGUGCGGGGAGAAGGUGGUACCCGCCCGACGCGGACGCUUCCCGGCGGGAUCCUGAGGCUCCUCGGGGACCAGGGAAGGGGUCCGGGUCUCGGGCUGCGGCGGGAGGGGGCCGUGUCCAGGGCAGCGCGGGAGCGUGGAAGCGUUGCCCACGGGGGUCUCUGCGCAGUCAGCCCCAUCAGCCCCAUUGCUCCCUCCGUGCAUUCGGGUCCGGGAGGUGCGUGCAGAGCCUCCAGCACCCAUCACCCCGCACUGGGCGUGGGGGAGCCCAUCGUGGUAUCCUGGUGCACCACUGUGAAAAAAGAGAGAGAUCGGGUGGAAAAAUACAGCAGAAAAAGGAAAAAAAAAGACGCACUCUGUUGGGUUUCCGUUGGGUUUAGAUUUUAAGGAUCCAUUGGAGAGGAACCUCUUGCUUUUGUGCUCAUACGAUGCCGAGGGCGUUAACACGUUCUGCAUAGCACGGUGAUGCCCUGGCUUAACCACGGCCCUUAGCCACCUUACAUAACAUUAACAAUUCCUUAAUCUUUUUUUCUUUUCCCCUCGCAGGCAGCGCAGGUGAGGUAGGAAUCACCCUCCUCCUGUCCGGUAAGAGGCUCAGGUUCCCAUCUCUGCCGUUCAAACCAUCUCCUCCUCCGGUCAGCAGCGCUUCCAAGCUGCAGAAAAGCAAUUAGUUCACGAGGGCAGAUGCUGAAGCAGAACAGAAAGGUCUCAUCUUGCGUGGUUGUUCUGUACCUAAAGGCUGCGGGGCGAUGCGCGGGAGCCAGCGAGGUGCCUCGCGUGAGCCUGUGUCUCCCAAUGCACGUUGCUCCUUCAUUGCUAAGAAAUGAAUUUUCUGCAGAGAAAUUGGACAAACAUGCUGUGGUUUCAGGGCACUAAAAUCUCCUCUCCGCGUUUGUAAACAGCAGAUUUGCGCUGAAAUAUGUAUUUGUUUUAGACACGACUUCGUUUCCAGCAUUCGCUUUGAUCGGGGCGCUUGGAAGGCGAGCUGUGUCAUGCGGCGGAUUUGUCCAGUAAAAAUACAAUUAGGGGCUUCGGUUUCAGUGUUUGCACGAAUGAUUGCUUGUGGAUAAUCAACAGGCCAAAAAUUAAUCCCAGCACUCUGUCAGCAAACACCAGCGAGCUCGAGGGGCGCAGCUUCUCAAGUUGUCCUGCUUCACUCUUGCAUAAGUAUUGUCAGAGUUUCUUUAUGUAUUUCAAUUCCUUACAUCUCAGUGGGACGGGCUGUGUUUUCCCUUCAACCAAGAAUUGUUCGGAAAAUCAGAUGGUGGUCCUGUGUGGUUUAUAGCUGUUAUAAGCAUAGGUGGUGUGAAACAGAAGCAAAACUGGUGUCCAGAACACCUCUGGUGCCUCCUUGUACAUCCUUGAACACUAAGACCAGGUUUGUGGGCUCAAAAUCACGGUUUUCCCAGCGUGUCACGCGGUGCGAAGGGGCCGUAGCUGUUGCUCUGGAGCUGUUGUGUAUUUUGGAUGACAACCCUGUGCAGGGACGGACAGAAGUCACGGUGCCUGGGAAGUGGGAUCUUCCAAAAACAAUAUGAUUUGCAAAUGAAAUCAGGCGGAGCAGAGGAGCUUGCUGAGCCAGCUUCCAUGGAGC